CGGCGGACGGGUGAGUAACGCGUGGACAACCUGCCCUAUGCAGGGGGAUAACAUCCGGAAACGGGUGCUAAUACCGCAUAAGCGCACAGUACCGCAUGGUACGGUGUGAAAAGCUGAGGCGGCAUAGGAUGGGUCCGCGUUGGAUUAGGCAAUUGGCGGGGUAACGGCCCACCAAACCAACGAUCCAUAGCCGGCCUGAGAGGGUGGACGGCCACAUUGGGACUGAGACACGGCCCAGACUCCUACGGGAGGCAGCAG
rnacentral:rRNA from 1 species